CAUGUGUACACGGCGCCAUCUCUUUCUUGCAUUUCGUGCGUAGGAAAGUAGUGUAGCCGAGCCCGCCAAGGCCAUAGCCAUAGCUCAGACCAUAGCUACCAAGACCGAAGCCGUAG
rnacentral:lncRNA from 1 species